UGGGCUUGUCUUCCUUUUCCACACUGCCA
rnacentral:piRNA from 1 species